rnacentral:rRNA from 1 species
AGUGAACGCUGGCGGCAGGCCUAACACAUGCAAGUCGAACGGCAGCACAGUAAGAGCUUGCUCGUACGGGUGGCGAGUGGCGGGUGGGUGAGGAAUACAUCCGAAUCUACUUUUUCGAGGGGGAUAACGUAGGGAAACUUACGCCAAUACCGCAUACGGCCUACGGGGGAAAGCAGGGGAUCUUCGGACCUUGCGCGAUUGAAUGAGGCGAUGUCGGAUUAGCUAGUUGGCGGGGUAAAGGCCCACCAAGGCGACGAUCCGUAGCUGGUCUGAGAGGAUGAUCAGCCACACUGGAACUGAGACACGGUCCAGACUCCUACGGGAGGCAGCAGUGGGGAAUAUUGGACAAUGGGGGCAAGCCUGAUCCAGCCAUGCCGCGUGGGUGAAGAAGGCCUUCGGGUUGUAAAGCCCUUUUGUUGGGAAAGAAAAGCAGCAGGUUAAUACCCCGCUGUUCUGACGGUACCCAAAGAAUAAGCACCGGCUAACUUCGUG